rnacentral:pre_miRNA from 1 species
AUUCUGAAAGGGGAAUGCUGUACACUCUAUGUGCUAAAAAUAUCCAUAAGCGUAUAGCUUUUCCCAUUUAGCGUUCG